UGAGUAACGCGUAUCCAACCUUCCCAUAACUACGGGAUAACCCGUUGAAAGACGGCCUAAUACCGUAUGAUAUCGUUUGCUGACAAUCAAAUAAACGAUUAAAGGUUUAGCGGUUAUGGAUGGGGAUGCGUCUGAUUUAGCUUGUUGGCGGGGUAACGGCCCACCAAGGCUACGAUCAGUAGGGGUUCUGAGAGGAAGGUCCCCACAUUGGAACUGAGACACGGUCCAAACUCCUACGGGAGGCAGCAGUGAGGAAUAUUGGUCAAUGGGCGAGAGCCUGAACCAGCCAAGUAGCGUGCAGGAAGACGGCCCUAUGGGUUGUAAACUGCUUUUAUGUGGGGAUAAAGUGCGUGACGUGUCAUGCAUUGCAGGUACCACAUGAAUAAGGACCGGGCUAAUUCCGUGCCAGCAGCCGCGGUAAAU
rnacentral:rRNA from 1 species